rnacentral:rRNA from 1 species
AACGAACGCUGGCGGUAGGCUUAACACAUGCAAGUCGAACGCCCCGCAAGGGGAGUGGCAGACGGGUGAGUAACGCGUGGGAACGUGCCCUUCGCUUCGGAAUAGCCCCGGGAAACUGGGAGUAAUACCGGAUACGCCGUAUUGGGAAAGAUUUAUCGGCGAAGGAUCGGCCCGCGUUGGAUUAGGUAGUUGGCGGUGUAAUGGACCACCAAGCCUACGAUCCAUAGCUGGUCUGAGAGGAUGAUCAGCCACACUGGGACUGAGACACGGCCCAGACUCCUACGGGAGGCAGCAGUGGGGAAUCUUGGACAAUGGGCGCAAGCCUGAUCCAGCCAUGCCGCGUGAGUGAAGAAGGCCUUAGGGUUGUAAAACUCUUCCGCCGGAGAAGAUAAUGACGGUAUCCGGAGAAGAAGCCCCGGCUAACUUCGUGCCAGCCGCCGCGGUAAGAC